rnacentral:misc_RNA from 1 species
CAGUCGUAACAAGGUUUCCGUAGGUGAACCUGCGGAAGGAUCAUUAAAAGUGAUGGUUAUACAUUUCAUGUAGUCAACUGCAUUAACCCAUUCCGAGUACUUGCCGUUGCUUCCAUGGGGCCUGACCUAGGGUCACUUUUGUGAUGUGAAAGCCCAAGAGGAGUCCCCUGGGAGGUAUCUUAAAAUUCAUGAUAUCCAAUGUCUUCUGUCUGAACUGUUUAUAACAAAUGUUAAAA